GGGCAUGUAGUGGUUUUUCACCCAUCAAAAAAACCUGUUUAUCCUUAAGGAUCAACAGCUUGCAUGGGUUUCGGGGUCACCUUGACAUGGUGGGGGUCGUUGGUUCGAGUCCAAUCGCGCCUACCA
rnacentral:tRNA from 1 species